GUCCUGCCAGAACUCUUUGCUCUCCCCCUUCCACUGGCCUGCUUUGUGUAAAUCCUGCUUGCUAUAUUCCCAGGGAAACUCCAAUGGAAUUAAGCUUCACAGAUGUAAAAAGAAGUAUAUAAAGAAGUACAAAGUUUUAUUUGGAGCUCUUGAGACUGACAGGAGUCACUCGCUGAACCGCUGGUCUCAUUAAAAGCCAUUUUUUGCUCCUAUCUUCAUGUUAAAGAGUUAUCUGUGCGGGGGUCCUCACUGUUUCCUGCUUCAAUAGCACCCAAACAACUUGCUCAAAUCUCACAGCAAGAUCCACAGAGGGCAAACCAGAACACCAAGAACACCCAGUUACUUUAAGCUCAGAAGAAUCUACAUUCUGUCUAGAUCUGAGGAGUCAGAACUUCAAGAGCUCGGUACUUACCACAUCAUUUGGGAGGCUCUGGAGGUCAUCAAAGGGAGUUUCCAGGGUGUUGGUGUCCACGUUCAGGAUCACAACAUCAUCCAGGGCCAUGUUUCUGACUUUCUGCAAGUCAACAAAGUCCAGAAGAGAAAGUCAUCCAAACAUCAUUAAGACACAAAGGGCCACCCUCAGGGUCUCCAGGGCCCAGCACAGAGGCUGACACAAGGCACGCGCUCAUUAACUGGAGAGUGAGCCGGGCUGGAUCCACUCUACUGGGAGGCUGGCCUUGCAGCAGAUGUCAGCGUCAGCCUGGACGGACAACGGGAGUCCAAAGUAGCUAUCUCCAUCCUGCUGACAGAGAUGUGAAGGCUCACACCCACAGUAGCUCAGUGAUUUGCCCAAGAGACAACUGGUAGAGCUGGUAUUCAAACUUAGGCUCCUGCCUGCUCCAAAGAUCCAUGCACAUUUUCCCCACUAAAAGCAGAACACAAACAAACAAAAUGACAGCAUGCAGUAAUUUGUGCAGAAAAUGACGGAUUUCAGCUUGCUUACACAUUGCCCUGACCCAUUUAAAGGCCUUCCGAAUCAAUUAUUUUAUGUCAUUAAGAGGAAGUUUAAUUUGGUCGACAAACACCCCUACUGUGGUGACCUCGAAUAUCAACAGCAAAUGCCUGAUGGUCACAAACUGGUACCAUGAGUUACUGAGCAUGGUGUUAAACAAAACCACAUGUGCCCAAAUCCCAAGUGGGAUUUGCCUAGGCCAAGGGCGCCUCUCUUCAAUCAUCACUGCUGGUCUCUGAGCUCCCACAAAGACCCCACCCCUAGUCACUUGCAAGGAGUUUAUAAAAAGAAGUCACUAGUCCCACGUGGCAAAGCUCAGUUAAAAGUAUUUUUAAGUGAACAGUGACUUAGAAAAAAA